AGACGUCUACAUUAGAUACCCGGGUAGUCCCAGCCGUAAACUAUGCGCGUUAGGUGUAUCGGUGACCACGAGUUACCGAGGUGCCGAAGGGAAACCGUGGAACGUGCCGCCUGGGAAGUACGGUCGCAAGGCUGAAACUUAAAGGAAUUGGCGGGGAGCACCACAACGGGUGGAGCCUGCGGUUUAAUUGGACUCAACGCCGGGAAGCUCACCGGAUAAGACAGCGGAAUGAUUGCCGGGCUGAAGACUCUGCAUGACUAGCUG
rnacentral:rRNA from 1 species